rnacentral:rRNA from 1 species
UGCAAGUCGAACGAAGUAGCAAUACUUAGUGGCAGACGGGUGAGUAACAUGUAGGUAUCUGCCCUUUGGCCUGGAAUAACACGAGGAAACUUGUGCUAAUACCGGAUAAGUCUUUACGGAGAAAGCUUUAUGCACCAUUGGAUGAGCCUGCACUUGAUUAGUUAGUUGGUAGGGUAAAAGCCUACCAAGACUUUGAUCAAUAGCUGAUUUGAGAGGAUGAUCAGCCACAUUGGGACUGAGACACGGCCCAAACUCCUACGGGAGGCAGCAGUGGGGAAUCUUGCACAAUGGAGGAAACUCUGAUGCAGCGAUGCCGCGUGAGUGAAGAAGGCCCUUGGGUUGUAAAGCUCUUUCGUCGGGGAAGAAAAUGACUGUACCCGAAUAAGAAGGUCCGGCUAACUUCGUGCCAGCAGCCGCGGUAAUACGAAGGGACCUAGCGUAGUUCGGAAUUACUGGGCUUAAAGAGUUCGUAGGUGGUUGAAAAAGUUGGUGGUGAAAUCCCAGAGCUUAACUCUGGAACUGCCAUCAAAACUUUUCAGCUAGAGUUUGAUAGAGGAAAGCAGAAUUUCUAGUGUAGAGGUGAAAUUCGUAGAUAUUAGAAAGAAUACCAAUUGCGAAGGCAGCUUUCUGGAUCAUUACUGACACUGAGGAACGAAAGCAUGGGUAGCGAAGAGGAUUAGAUACCCUCGUAGUCCAUGCCGUAAACGAUGUGUGUUAGACGUUGGAAAUUUAUUUUCAGUGUCGCAGCGAAAGCGAUAAACACACCGCCUGGGGAGUACGACCGCAAGGUUAAAACUCAAAUGAAUUGACGGGGACCCGCACAAGUAGUGGAGCAUGUGGUUUAAUUCGAAGAUACGCGCAGAACCUUACCAACACUUGACAUGUUCGUCGCGACUUUAAGA